rnacentral:rRNA from 1 species
AUGCAGUCGAGCGGUAACAGGAGAAGCUUGCUUCUCGCUGACGAGCGGCGGACGGGUGAGUAAUACUUAGGAAUCUACCUAGUAGUGGGGGAUAGCUCGGGGAAACUCGAAUUAAUACCGCAUACGACCUACGGGAGAAAGGGGGCAACUUGUUGCUCUCGCUAUUAGAUGAGCCUAAGUCGGAUUAGCUAGAUGGUGGGGUAAAGGCCUACCAUGGCGACGAUCUGUAGCUGGUCUGAGAGGAUGAUCAGCCACACCGGGACUGAGACACGGCCCGGACUCCUACGGGAGGCAGCAGUGGGGAAUAUUGGACAAUGGGGGCAACCCUGAUCCAGCCAUGCCGCGUGUGUGAAGAAGGCCUUUUGGUUGUAAAGCACUUUAAGCAGUGAAGAAGACUCCAUGGUUAAUACCCAUGGACGAUGACAUUAGCUGCAGAAUAAGCACCGGCUAACUCUGUGCCAGCAGCCGCGGUAAUACAGAGGGUGCAAGCGUUAAUCGGAAUUACUGGGCGUAAAGCGAGCGUAGGUGGCUUGAUAAGUCAGAUGUGAAAGCCCCGGGCUUAACCUGGGAACGGCAUCUGAUACUGUUAGGCUAGAGUAGGUGAGAGGAAGGUAGAAUUCCAGGUGUAGCGGUGAAAUGCGUAGAGAUCUGGAGGAAUACCGAUGGCGAAGGCAGCCUUCUGGCAUCAUACUGACACUGAGGUUCGAAAGCGUGGGUAGCAAACAGGAUUAGAUACCCUGGUAGUCCACGCCGUAAACGAUGUCUACUAGUCGUUGGGUCCCUUGAGGACUUAGUGACGCAGCUUACGCAAUAAGUAGACCGCCUGGGGAGUACGGCCGCAAGGUUAAAACUCAAAUGAAUUGACGGGGGCCCGCACAAGCGGUGGAGCAUGUGGUUUAAUUCGAUGCAACGCGAAAAACCUUACCUGGUCUUGACAUAUCUAGAAUCCUGCAAAGAUGCGGGAAUGCCUUCGGGAAUUAGAAUACAGGUGCUGCAUGGCUGUCGUCAACUCGUGUCCUGAAAUGUUGGGUUAAUUCCCGCAACGAGCGCAACCCUUGUCCUUAUUUACCAACGGUUUGGCCGGGAACUCUAAGGAUACUGCCAUUGACAAACUGGAAGAAGGCGGGGACGACUUCAGUCAUCAUGGCCCUUACAACAAGGCUACCACCUGCUACAUUGGUAGGUAC